UACGUAGGGUGCGAGCGUUAAUCGGAAUUACUGGGCGUAAAGGGUGCGUAGGCGGCGCGGUAAGUCGGGUGUGAAAUCUUGGAGCUUAACUCCGAAACUGCAUUCGAUACUGCCGUGCUUGAGGACUGGAGAGGAGACUGGAAUUUACGGUGUAGCGGUGAAAUGCGUAGAUAUCGUAAGGAAGACCAGUGGCGAAGGCGGGUCUCUGGACAGUUCCUGACGCUGAGGCACGAAGGCCAGGGGAGCAAACGGG
rnacentral:rRNA from 1 species